rnacentral:rRNA from 2 species
CGACCUCAGAUCAGAC